CGCUAGUCGUGGCGGCAGUCAUGGCGGCUACGUCGGGUUCGGUGUGCUUGCAGCGUUGCGUGGUGUCGCCGGCUGGGAGGCACAGCGCCUCUCUGAUCUUCCUACACGGCUCAGGUGAUUCUGGACAAGGAUUGAAAAAGUGGAUCAAGCAAGUUUUAAAUCAAGAUUUAACAUUCCAGCACAUAAAAGUUAUUUAUCCAACAGCUCCUCCCAGACCAUAUACUCCUUUGAAAGGAAGACUCUCCAAUGUAUGGUUUGACAGGUUUAAAAUAUCUAAUGACUGCCCAGAACACCUUGAAUCAAUUGAUGUAAUGUGUCAAGUGCUUACAGAUUUGAUUGAUGAUGAAAUAAAAAGUGGCAUCAAGAAGAACAGGAUAUUAGUAGGAGGAUUUUCUAUGGGAGGGUGCAUGGCAAUGCAUUUAGCAUACAGAAGUCAUCAAGAUGUGGCAGGAGUAUUUGUUCUUUCUAGUUUUCUGAGUAAGACAUCUGCUGUUUACCAGGCUCUUCAGAAAAGUGAUGGUGUUCUUCCUGAAUUAUUCCAGUGUCAUGGUACUGCAGAUGAGUUAGUUCUUCAUUCUUGGGGCACCUGAUGACGACAGCUUAGGAAGAGUCAAUUUGCUGGUGUGAUAGAAUUAAUGACUAAUGACCGAGGAGCUUCUGCUACUAGUGAAAGUGUUUCAGCAAAGCAACACAGUAAACCAAAAGAGAAGAUGCAGAAAUUGUUCCUGAACACAGGAAGGAGAUGGAGGGAAGUCCCAUGAUGACGGAAGAGUGGGUCUAGAAAAUGUUUCACCUGUAAAAGAAUGAGAGGAAGUGGGGCUCCAAGAAAGAGAUCUUUAUUGGAGUAUAAUUGCUUUACAAUGUUGUGUUAGCUUCAAUGGAUAAAGAAGAUGUGGCAUAUAUACACAACCAGUGGAAUUUUACUCAGCCAUAAAAAGGAAUGAAAUUGAGUUAUUUGAAGUGAGGUGGAUGGACCUAGAGUCUGUCAUACAGAGUGAACAUCUCUUCUUCCAUUUAGUAUUGCAGAUAAUUUUGGCCUUGCUUCAUCCUGCCUGCCUGUCUAUAAAUUUCUGGAAGGUGGAGCUCAUCGUCCUGUCUCCUUCAUGUUUGCAGUCCUUCGGACUAUCUAGUAUAAGGCCUUGCACCCUGUCCUUUGGAAAACGGUGGCAUGCCAAAAAAUCAUAAGCAAAAGAGCGUGUGCUUGGAUCAAGGGAAAGGAUUCACUUUCUUCCUCUACAAAACGUUCUGAGAUUCCUAGAAGAACUGGGCCAGCUCACCAAACAGAACCUACUCGUUUCAUUCUGCAGAAAACUUACCUACCUUGUCAGGUCCACAUCUACGCAAAGAAAAAGAAAAAAAGAACAAGAGUCUAUGGGCGAUUUUCUGCAGAGUGGACCAUGAGCACCUGGGGCUCUCACGUUGACUGGCCCUUAGCUUUGUGACUGGUGUACCUUCAUCUCAUCAGUAUUUUUUACCUUCUCAUACUACAGAAGCUGUUCUAGUCCUGUUCUAUAUGUGGCUGUAUCAGGAUCAUGAAAGGUGGGGUGCAGGGAUCAGCAAACUAUGACACACGACCACAUCUGUUCCUUCACCUCUUUUUGUAAAGUUUUAUAAACGCAGGCAUAUCCCUUUGUCUCUGUGUUUUCUGUGGCUGACUUUGUAUAAUGGCCAACUUUGGUAGUUCCAUCACACACUGUAUGACUUGCAAACCUGAAAUGUUUAUUAACUUGCUGUUUACAGAAAAAACUGACCAACCCAUGGGUUAAAGAAUGGGCUAUAGAAUCAAAAAGAUAUGAGUGUGGGGCUUCCUAGGUGGCGCAGUGGUUGAGAAUCCACCUGCCAAUGCAGGGAACACGGGUUGGAUCCCUGGUCUGGGAAGAUCCCACGUGCUGCGGAGCAACUAAGCCCGUGCGCCACAACUAUUGAGCCUGCGCUUUAGAGCCCAUGAGCCACAACUAUUGAGCCCAUGCACUGCAACUACUGAAGCCCACACGCCUAGAGCUUGUGCUCUGCAACAAGGGAAGCCAUGGCAAUGAGGAGCCUGCGCACCACAACGAAGAGUAGACCCCACUCACCGCAACUAAAAAGAAA